UACGAAGGGGGGCGAGCGUUGUUCGGAAUUACUGGGCGUAAAGGGCGCGCAGGCGGCCUUAGAAGUCAGAUGUGAAAGCCCCGGGCUCAACCUGGGAAUGGCAUUUGAUACUCUGAGGCUGGAGUACGGGAGAGGAGAGUGGAAUUCCCCAGUGUAGAGGUGAAAUUCGUAGAUAUUGGGAAGAACACCGUGCGAAGGCGGCUCUCUGGACCGUAACUGACGCUUGAGGCGCGAAAGCGUGGGGAGCGAACAGG
rnacentral:rRNA from 1 species